rnacentral:lncRNA from 1 species
AUCAUUACUUUUUAAGAAUAUUCAUUUUCGGCCAUUUAUUUUUUGUCCACUUGAUGGAUAAGUGAAUAAUAUCGAAAAAACUUGAAAUUUGAUUUCUAGAUAGUUUAAAUGAUCUAGAUCACGUUUAACGGUACAGGUUGCCGAUUUGAAAGUCCUAUCAUCGAAAACAAAUAUAUAGCAAAUUAAGUCAUUUACUACCAAUAGUAGUCGAGCAAAGUCCAUAUUUAUAUAUAGAAAAAACCUCAAAUAUUACCGUGUUGUUUUGUACUUAAUUUCUCACUUUAGUAUCUUGUGGUUUAAAGUGUAUCAAUCUAGUAAUAUGUGGUUUCAUUUUUUUCUUUUUAUUAUCCCCUCCACUAAUUUUUUUAUUAAAUCAGUGAGAAAGUUAAAAUUAAAAGAUAUUAAAGUGAAUAUUCAAUAAAUCUAGGUGGGGUAUCUGAAGUUUUUUAUAUAUGAUUUAAUGAGAAGUUAACGAAGGGAUUGACGAAAAGAGAAAAAGGAAAACACAGCAUACUAAAGUGAUACACUUUAAAUCAUAUGGUACUAAAGUGAGAAAGUGCGAAACUAUAGGGAUAAUAUUUGAAGUUUACCCUUAUUUAUAUAUAGCAUGAUGA